UUAUUUGAUUAUUACUUUUGUUUGUUAGUUAUGUAAUUCAGUUACCAGACUUCAUUGAAAGAAAUAAUGUUGUAAACAACCAAUGAAAACUGACAGGUUAUCCUUCAACAGGUUGAAUCAAGCAUAGAGGCUGUAAUAUGUGGAUUAUUAGCUUAUCAUCACGAAGCUGUACCUGGCAGAGUGGAUUUCACGAAGCAGAGGGUCGCAUGAAUGUUGACCUUUCUAAACAGGCAACUGCAUUUCUUCUUCAAGCCAGAGAAAGCCGUCGACUGACACAGCUCAUUUACGCCGUUGAUUUUCCUUUGAAUUAUAUUUCAUUUUUAUCAGCAAGCUUAAAAGCAAUAAGCUUAAACUGUAGAAUGACUUAGCCACUGUUCAGACCUGGCAUCUUGGUUGAUCCGAGCUCAGGGGGGCAGCUAAAGAGAGCUGUUAACCAAAUGCUGAGUGGAGUCCAGCAACAUCAGGCCGCAUGAUCGGAGCACCUCAAACAGCAAAUGAGCGACAUGAUUGAGAGACAUUCUGGGGACCUGGAUCAACUAAAGACUGAUGCGAUGGGGAUAUUUGACCAGUCUGUUGAGCCUUUCUGUCAAACUGCUUCCACCCAUUUGCAGAAUAAGACCAUCAAAGAACUGCUAGAACCAGUUGAACCAGAGAUUGUUGUGGCAAAACAAACAGUAUGUUAUGUGGAAAACUCCAGAGUUCUUACCAUUAAGGACCGUUAUUUUCAUUAUAUACCGUCAGUGAACAGUUUGGAGCAGCUGCUGGCACAUCCAAGAAUAAGUGCAAUGAUUGAUAAGAGGCCACAGACACGCAAGGAGGGAGUUUUUCAGGAUUUCAUCGAUGGAGACAUUUUUAAUUCCACCCACUGUUUUCCCGCAGCAUUGCAGUUGGUUUUAUAUCCAGAUGAAAUUGAGCUAUGCGAUCCUCUUGGAUCUCGGGUAAACAAAAACUAAUUGUUAUUGAUUUAUUACACCUUAGGUAACAUCAACCCUAAACGCAGAUCAAGACUCGCUGCCCUUCGUCGGCUUGCCAUGGUAAAAUCAAAAGAUCUUUCCCAUUGUGGUACCGCUGAGAUAUUUGAGAGGAUUAACCGUGACUUAACUGAGCUGUGUGACGCUGUCCAGGUUGUCACUGCACAUGGUGAGAGGACAAAUAGCCACUAUAAUAGAAAUAGUACUCUGCAUGUGA